rnacentral:rRNA from 1 species
GACGAACGCUGGCGGCGUGCCUAAUACAUGCAAGUAGAACGCACAGUUUAUACCGUAGCUUGCUACACCAUAAACUGUGAGUUGCGAACGGGUGAGUAACGCGUAGGUAACCUGCCUGGUAGCGGGGGAUAACUAUUGGAAACGAUAGCUAAUACCGCAUAAUAUUGAUUAUUGCACGAUAAUUGAUUGAAAGAUGCUAUUGCAUCACUACCAGAUGGACCUGCGUUGUAUUAGCUAGUAGGUGAGGUAACGGCUCACCUAGGCGACGAUACAUAGCCGACCUGAGAGGGUGAUCGGCCACACUGGGACUGAGACACGGCCCAGACUCCUACGGGAGGCAGCAGUAGGGAAUCUUCGGCAAUGGACGAAAGUCUGACCGAGCAACGCCGCGUGAGUGAAGAAGGUUUUCGGAUCGUAAAGCUCUGUUGUAAGAGAAGAACGGGUGUGAGAGUGGAAAGUUCACACUGUGACGGUAUCUUACCAGAAAGGGACGGCUAACUACGUG